GCCAGGCGUGGUGGUACACAUCUGUAGUCUCAGCUACUUGGGAGGCUGAGGCAGGGGGAUUGUUUGAGCCCAGGACUUCGAGGCUGCAGUGAGCUGUGAUUGAGCCACUGCAGUCCAGCCUGGGUGACAGAGCAAGACCGUGUCUCUA
rnacentral:SRP_RNA from 2 species